rnacentral:rRNA from 1 species
CUUCUGGAUGGGUUGCGAACGGGUGAGUAACGCGUAGGUAACCUGCCUGGUAGCGGGGGAUAACUAUUGGAAACGAUAGCUAAUACCGCAUAACAGUAGAUGUUGCAUGACAUUUGCUUAAAAGGUGCAAUUGCAUCACUACCAGAUGGACCUGCGUUGUAUUAGCUAGUUGGUGGGGUAACGGCUCACCAAGGCGACGAUACAUAGCCGACCUGAGAGGGUGAUCGGCCACACUGGGACUGAGACACGGCCCAGACUCCUACGGGAGGCAGCAGUAGGGAAUCUUCGGCAAUGGACGGAAGUCUGACCGAGCAACGCCGCGUGAGUGAAGAAGGUUUUCGGAUCGUAAAGCUCUGUUGUAAGAGAAGAACGAGUGUGAGAGUGGAAAGUUCACACUGUGACGGUAUCUUACCAGAAAGGGACGGCUAACUACGUGCCAGCAGCCGCGGUAAUACGUAGGUCCCGAGCGUUGUCCGGAUUUAUUGGGCGUAAAGCGAGCGCAGGCGGUUAGAUAAGUCUGAAGUUAAAGGCUGUGGCUUAACCAUAGUACGCUUUGGAAACUGUUUAACUUGAGUGCAAGAGGGGAGAGUGGAAUUCCAUGUGUAGCGGUGAAAUGCGUAGAUAUAUGGAGGAACACCGGUGGCGAAAGCG